GAAGGUGUUGCGCCAAGGUCGGCGUCACUGACUGAUAAUCAAGUGAUUCUUUCGAGAAUGAGGUUCGAAUCCUCCACCUUCC
rnacentral:tRNA from 1 species